rnacentral:lncRNA from 1 species
CGUGAGGGUGGGGCAGGGGAGAUCUGAGGAGUGUGCUCACUGCCCCUCCCUCAUCCACCGGCACACCAGACCCCUCUGUCCGACUGUGCUCUUCCAUUUCUCAACUGACUGCCCUGUGGGACAUGUAAAUGUGGUGUUUUCCUAAAAGGGUCUUGUCCUGAACAAAAGCUGACAAGAUCUGCUCUACCCUGCAAAUGUCCAAAGUCAGCUGUCACAUUCUGUUCAGGCUGUUGUCAGAUUUAAAUAAUCCCCAAAUCCCACACAUCACCCCCUUUCUAUACCUCUCUUCAAAAGUCUUUAUCAUCCUGACAGCUGUCCUCUGAACUGUCUCCUAAUGUCUCACAACUUUCUAGAGCUAUAAGGCUGUUUAUGUGACAUCCACAGCUAGCACUCUCACUUGGUCUCCUUGUGGAUCAGAGCCUCCUAGCCAGGUGCUCCCAAAUGAGACUAGCAUUUGAAGUGUUGGCUUCAGAUGGCCCUUUCCAACUUCUCAUCCAACCCCUUGGAGACCUGAAGAGAACAAAAGGAUGAGGAAAGGAAAAUUUCACCACCUCUGUUUUAUUUUCCUUGCCUGUAAGAGUUGGAACAUCUGUCUAUUUCUACCCUACAGUGAGAGACUUACACCACAAGCUCCCUGGCUCCUGGGUGUAGAGGGAAGAUCAUGGGACUUCACCUUCAUAAUUAUGUGCACCAGUUUUUUUGAAUGAAUCCCUUCAUAUAUAAUGUAUUUCAUAUGCAUGCUUGUGUGCAUAUGUCCCCUAUUGGUUCUUUGUCUCUGGGGAACUCUUACAUGGGUGGGGGUUAGUUAGCAUCCUGGAAGCACACAGGAAGAUUUGGGGGGAGAACUUUCCCUCUUUCCAUGUAAAAAAGCAAAAACAAAUGUCUGUUAUAAUCAUGGGGCCUAACUUGGAGAAGGAAAGGUCUCUCACAGACUGCUUUAGGUCUCUUACGUUUUCAUGCUUACCUCCCCAUUGACCUGCCCCCAGAGUCCUGGCAAGGAUUUACUCUGCAAAGCCUUUGAAUAUAGCUGUUUUAAUAGGCUAAACAUUAUAUUGGCAUUCACCUACUUUUCCCAUUAGAACUUUUAUUGCUAGCAUCAAAGUAUUCAAAUGGCUCUCAAGCCAUUAAGAGCAAAAUAAUUUUGAACUAGACUAACAGGAAUAUUUACUAAACUGAGCCGAAUUCCUUUGCUCUGCUCUUGGCACAAAGGUAUAAAAACUCCAGAGUCCUAUAAGGAGUCUGAAGGAAAAAAAAUAUUCAAGAAAAAUUUCAAGGAUCAAAUUUUCUCAUUAAAAGUAUAUUUUAGAAAAAUAUUUUAGGUUAACUUGCUAGGGCCAUUGUAUGAAGAGAAAAGCUGUGCUGCCAUUUGGCAAGUUGAUGUUCUCAUUUCUGUUACAACAAAAUAGAGACCAACACAGGGAAAAGGAUAAAAUUUUUAAAAACUAUCAAUGAGUACUUCUAUUAUUUUUGUAACUGAAGCUCUAAGUUAAAUUUUGCUGCACAGCAACCUGCAGUUUUAAUUUUGCUCUCCAUGAAGGGCUAAAAUGGGCAACAGGAGGUGAGAUUCCUGCUGCUUUCAGAGCUG